GUCUACGGCCAUACCACCCUGAACACGCCCGAUCUCGUCUGAUCUCGGAGCUAAGCAGGGUCGGGCCUGGUUAGUACUUGGAUAGGAGAAGGCAUAUUUGUUUAUC
rnacentral:rRNA from 1 species